UGAGGAAUAUUGUUCAAUGGGCGCAAGCCCGAACCAGCCAUGCCGCGUGCAGGAAGACGGCCCUAUGGAUUGUAAACUGCUUUUAUUUGGGAAUAAACCUCUUUACGUGUAGAGAGCUGUAGGUACCAAAUGAAUAAGCACCGGCUAACUCCGUGCCAGCAGCCGCGGUAAUACGGAGGGUCCAAGCGUUAUCCGGAUUUAUUGGGUUUAAAGGGUGCGUAGGCGGCUUAUUAAGUCAGGGGUGAAAGACGGUGGCUCAACCAUCGCAGUGCCCUUGAUACUGAUGAGCUUGAAUGGACUAAGGGUAGGCGGAAUGUGGCAAGUGGCGGUGAAAUGCAUAGAUAUGUCAUAGGACACCAAUAGCGAAGGCAGAUCAGUAGGUGUGGAGUGACGCUCAGGGACGAGAGCAUGGGGAGCAAACA
rnacentral:rRNA from 1 species